UUUUAAUUAAACAAUGCAGUGUCUUUGAGGUACUUUUAUCUCAGUCACGGCAACUCGUGUCUUUUGAACGUACCCUGAUGCCAGGUAGAUCCUGUUCAGGUAGUCAAAGCUCCAAUGGCGUCGUGAACAAGAGAUGCUUAACUCGUUUUCAUGACACAAACGACGUCGUUACGUCCAAUGUAAAUGACAGUCAUCAUAAUUUUUGUUUACAACAUUCUUUAUUACCGUCGCUUUUCAUUUUGCAUACGUUUCAAUUACGCAAUGGAUUGUGUAAACAUCGAAGAUCAACAUACCCAUUCGAUCAGUCGCUUGCUGAACAACACUUCGCCAUUGACAAUCUUCACGAGCGAUACAAGGGAUCUGUCACGUGAUAUAUUUAUGGAAUAAAAGAAAAAGGAAAUAAUUUCGCUUCCUUGCGAAACGAGGUCUCGAGCUGUACGAUUAUUCUCAUGAGGAUCGCCAUAAGGAAAGUCUUCAGGGUUUGAAGGCUGUCGAAUAAAGUGUUAGGUAUACACCUCUGGCAUAACACCAGCAUAACAUUAAAAGUAGCCAUGAUUGCCGUACGGAACGAUGGCGCGUCGAUCGGCUUCUGACUUACGUUCGCGAAUCACACCAGCACGUCGACGUCCAGGAGAGGACAAAGAGGUUAUUUCGCGUUAUUAAGGUUUGCUGGACAAAUGUGCCAUAAAAUGUAAACGGCGACACGGCGCAUUCGAUUAUCCAGUAAAUUAAACUUCAGAGAAUUUCUGUCUCUCGAGUAAAAUCGCUAACGCCACCUGACUCCACGUAGGUGGUCAAUCCGCGAGGAGGUCGUAUAGAAUUUCCAGGCAUUAUGACCUCGCUUGACCUUUUACUGAUAGCCUAUAGGGCGUUUCACCCUGUACCAUUACCAAGGCUCGUUAUCAGAGUUUCAUAUACCGUUAGUUGUAUCAAUCGACGCUAGAGCUACGAAAGCACAACAAAAUGGUGGAGAAAUUGCAAACCCUCACGAAAGUAUAUAAUUUUUCCCUUGCGCUCUAGUCUUUUUUUUUUUUUUCUAAAGUUUGUGUCAGUUAAAAAUAAUUAUCUGCACCAAGUGCAUAUUAUCUAUAUUGUAGAUUAAACGUUCGUUUGAACUGUUGUCAGACGAUUUUUUCAUGUCUAACGUUUUCACGUUGUAAAAGUUUUCAGCGCUCGACUGAUUGAAUAAUUAA